AGAGUUUGAUCAUGGCUCAGGACGAACGCUGGCGGCGUGCCUAACACAUGCAAGUCGAGCGGGGAGAGAUUUUCGGAUUCCUCUUUAGCGGCGGACGGGUGAGUAACACGUGGGUAACCUGCCUCAAAGAGGGGGAUAGCCUUCCGAAAGGAAGAUUAAUACCGCAUAAUAUCAGGGAGCUGCAUGGCAUUCUGAUCAAAGGAGCAAUCCGCUUUGAGAUGGACCCGCGGCGCAUUAGCUAGUUGGUGAGGUAACGGCCCACCAAGGCGACGAUGCGUAGCCGACCUGAGAGGGUGAUCGGCCACAUUGGAACUGAGACACGGUCCAGACUCCUACGGGAGGCAGCAGUGGGGAAUAUUGCACAAUGGGGGAAACCCUGAUGCAGCAACGCCGCGUGAGUGAUGAAGGCCUUCGGGUCGUAAAGCUCUUUGAUCAGGGACGAUAAUGAC
rnacentral:rRNA from 1 species